rnacentral:lncRNA from 1 species
CGGGAAGCCGGGAACACAGCUGCAAGCAGAGUAAAGAAAUGAAAUUGCCUGCUGGAUUUGGAACCUUGUUCUCGUCCGUCUCCCUCGCAUUCUCCUUCCGAUUCCCCCUAUGCUUACGCAACUCUCAUCUUCUCUCCAAUGGCUUCAUCCCCAUUUCCCCCUUCUUCUCAACAACUCAUUUCUCCUCAUCCCUUGUUGUGGCCCCUAGGGUUUCUCGUCCUGGCUUAUGGUUCGUCGGUUUCUGGAAGGUGGGUUCUGCGGUUAUGAUCGAGAUGCAAACUGGGUCUCUCGUUUUUUCCUUUUGGUUUCCUGAUUUUGUUCAGUUGCUGUGAAAUUCAGUGUCCAAUUCGCCAGUUCCCGGUAUGAGUUCCUCCGCACUCUUCUU